rnacentral:rRNA from 1 species
AACGAACGCUGGCGGCAUGCCUUACACAUGCAAGUCGAACGGCAGCACGGGUGCUUGCACCUGGUGGCGAGUGGCGAACGGGUGAGUAAUACAUCGGAACGUACCUUAUCGUGGGGGAUAACGCAGCGAAAGUUGCGCUAAUACCGCAUACGCCCUGAGGGGGAAAGCGGGGGACCGUAAGGCCUCGCGCGAUUAGAGCGGCCGAUGUCUGAUUAGCUUGUUGGUGAGGUAAAAGCUCACCAAGGCGAUGAUCAGUAGCUGGUCUGAGAGGACGAUCAGCCACACUGGGACUGAGACACGGCCCAGACUCCUACGGGAGGCAGCAGUGGGGAAUUUUGGACAAUGGGGGCAACCCUGAUCCAGCAAUGCCGCGUGAGUGAAGAAGGCCUUCGGGUUGUAAAGCUCUUUUGUCAGGGAAGAAACAGCAGCUCUAACACAGUCUGCGAAUGACGGUACCUGAAGAAUAAGCACCGGCUAACUACGUGCCAGCAGCCGCCGUAA